rnacentral:rRNA from 1 species
CUUGGGUUUUCCUGAGAGUAUG